GACGAACGCUGGCGGCGUGCUUAACACAUGCAAGUCGAGCGGUAAGGCCUUUCGGGGUACACGAGCGGCGAACGGGUGAGUAACACGUGGGUGAUCUGCCCUGCACUUCGGGAUAAGCCUGGGAAACUGGGUCUAAUGCCGGAUAUGACCUCCUAUCGCAUGGUGGGUGGUGGAAAGAUUUAUCGGUGCAGGAUGGGCCCGCGGCCUAUCAGCUUGUUGGUGGGGUAACGGCCUACCAAGGCGACGACGGGUAGCCGACCUGAGAGGGUGACCGGCCACACUGGGACUGAGACACGGCCCAGACUCCUACGGGAGGCAGCAGUGGGGAAUAUUGCACAAUGGGCGAAAGCCUGAUGCAGCGACGCCGCGUGAGGGAUGACGGCCUUCGGGUUGUAAACCUCUUUCAGCAGGGACGAAGCGCAAGUGACGGUACCUGCAGAAGAAGCACCGGCUAACUACGUG
rnacentral:rRNA from 1 species